GAUGAACGCUGGCGGCGUGCCUAAUACAUGCAAGUCGAGCGAACGGACGAGAAGCUUGCUUCUCUGAUGUUAGCGGCGGACGGGUGAGUAACACGUGGAUAACCUACCUAUAAGACUGGGAUAACUUCGGGAAACCGUAGCUAAUACCGGAUAAUAUUUUGAACCGCAUGGUUCAAAAGUGAAAGACGGUCUUGCUGUCACUUAUAGAUGGAUCCGCGCUGCAUUAGCUAGUUGGUCAGGUAACGGCUUACCAAGGCAACGAUGCAUAGCCGACCUGAGAGGGUGAUCGGCCACCCUGGAACUUAGCCACGGUCCAUACUCCUACGGGACGCAGCAGUCUGGUAUCUUCCGCAAUGGGCGAAAGCCUGACGGAGCAACGCCGCGUGAGUGAUGAAGGUCUUCGGUUCGUAAAACUCUGUUAUUAGGUAAGAACAUAUGUGUCAGUAACUGUGCACAUCUUGACGGUACCUAAUCAGAAAGCCACGGCUAACUACGUG
rnacentral:rRNA from 1 species